rnacentral:rRNA from 1 species
ACGAACGCUGGCGGCGUGCUUAACACAUGCAAGUCGAACGGAAAGGCCCUGCUUGCAGGGUACUCGAGUGGCGAACGGGUGAGUAACACGUGGGUGAUCUGCCCUGCACUUCGGGAUAAGCUUGGGAAACUGGGUCUAAUACCGGAUAGGAACCAUCUUUAGUGUGGUGGUUGGAAAGUUUUUUCGGUGUAGGAUGAGCUCGCGGCCUAUCAGCUUGUUGGUGGGGUAAUGGCCUACCAAGGCGGCGACGGGUAGCCGGCCUGAGAGGGUGUACGGCCACAUUGGGACUGAGAGACGGCCCAGACUCCUACGGGAGGCAGCAGUGGGGAAUAUUGCACAAUGGGCGCAAGCCUGAUGCAGCGACGCCGCGUGGGGGAUGAAGGCCUUCGGGUUGUAAACUCCUUUCGCUAGGGACGAAGCUUUGUUGUGACGGUACCUAGAUAAGAAGCACCGGCUAACUACGUG